UCUCAGUGUAGAAACCAGCUGCCUGUGGGGUCAUCUAAGGGACCCCGAAAAGGAGGGACAGAUGCCCAGGGGGACCCAGAGCUCUUGCAGAGGCAGGGUUCCCAGAGGCCACUGAGCCCCCAAGUCAGUCAAUCAGCCACAGGGUCCUGGAUUCCUCUCUGGGGCAGUCAGGCUGGCCUCAGCAGGAAGAGAGUCAUCCUGGAGCAUCUUUCUUUCCACAUGGGGCAGCUGGUCUGGUUGGAGGUUCACUUCCAGAAAAUGUGUCAUCUGAAUUAGGGUGACCCUUUCUGCCUCCUGAGCUGCAGAGACACAGACCAGACUGUGAGGGUUCUGGGUGGGGGAGCUGAGGCCAAAGCAAGUGGGCAACCCUGUUUCCCAUGGCAGGUUAGUGGCAGAGCUGGGACUAGAAUCUCUGUCUUCAGGCUUCCAAACCCAAAUCCUUUUCCCUCUUCCACCCAUCCGUGUGUGGGCCCUGUGAUGUCUCCCAGUGAGAAAGAGGACUUGGUGGGAGCCAGCGACUCCAGCCUGAGCAAUGGGCUCUGCUACAACCUUUCCUUGUGGCUUCAGUGCCACACCCCCUCUCUCUGGAGCUUCUAUUCCUCAUCUUUAAAAACAGAAAGUCCUAAUGAAGAUUCCAGCCUAAAUAUUGUCUUUCUGUCAUUUAGAUAUCACUUGAAAACCACAGGGAGCGUUCUCACAGCAAGGCCCCUUGAGUGAGGGAGGGCAUCUGAUGUGUACGUCACUGUCUUGUGGGUACAAAGAGAGAGAAGUGAGCAGAGGGAGAGGGGCCUCCCUUGCAUGCUGGGGAUGAGACAGAUAUGGGGCCCCCUGACUGGGAGAAGGGGCC